rnacentral:rRNA from 1 species
UCAGGAUGAACGCUAGCGGCAGGCUUAACACAUGCAAGUCGAGGGGUAACAUUGUGCUUGCACAGAUGACGACCGGCGCACGGGUGCGUAACGCGUAUAGAACCUACCUUUUACUGGAGAAUAGCCUUUAGAAAUGAAGAUUAAUGCUCCAUGGUAUUGAGUUUUGGCAUCAAGACUUAAUUAAAGAUUUAUUGGUAAAAGAUGGCUAUGCGUCCUAUUAGUUAGAUGGUAAGGUAACGGCUUACCAUGACUUUGAUAGGUAGGGGUCCUGAGAGGGAGAUCCCCCACACUGGUACUGAGACACGGACCAGACUCCUACGGGAGGCAGCAGUGAGGAAUAUUGGGCAAUGGAGGCAACUCUGACCCAGCCAUGCCGCGUGAAGGAUGACUGCCCUAUGGGUUGUAAACUUCUUUUAUACAGGAAGAAACACUGGUAUGUAUACCAGCUUGACGGUACUGUAAGAAUAAGGACCGGCUAACUCCGUGCCAGCAGCCGCGGUAAUACGGAGGGUCCGAGCGUUAUCCGGAAUCAUUGGGUUUAAAGGGUCCGCAGGCGGUCGAUUAAGUCAGAGGUGAAAUCCCAUAGCUCAACUAUGGAACUGCCUUUGAUACUGGUUGACUUGAGUCAUAUGGAAGUAGAUAGAAUGUGUAGUGUAGCGGUGAAAUGCAUAGAUAUUACACAGAAUACCGAUUGCGAAGGCAGUCUACUACGUAUGUACUGACGCUGAGGGACGAAAGCGUGGGGAGCGAACAGGAUUAGAUACCCUGGUAGUCCACGCCGUAAACGAUGGAUACUAGUUGUUGGGCAUUAGCUCAGUGACUAAGCGAAAGU